GGGCACAUUCCACAAGCGGCCAACGUGAGCAGACUGUAAAUCUGCCGUCUUUCGACUUCGGAGGUUCGAAUCCUUCUGUGCCCACAA
rnacentral:tRNA from 1 species